rnacentral:rRNA from 1 species
UACAGAGGUCUCAAGCGUUGUUCGGAUUCAUUGGGCGUAAAGGGUGCGUAGGUGGCAGGGUAAGUCGGGUGUGAAAGCCCCGGGCUCAACCUGGGAAUUGCAUUCGAGACUGCGUAGCUAGGGUGCGGAAGAGGGAAGCGGAAUUUCCGGUGUAGCGGUGAAAUGCGUAGAUAUCGGGAGGAACACCUGUGGCGAAAGCGGCGCACUGGACCACAACUGACGCUGAGGCACGAAAGCGUGGGGAGCAAACAGG